rnacentral:rRNA from 1 species
UACGGAGGGUGCAAGCGUUAUCCGGAUUCACUUGGGUUAAAGGGUGGCGUAGGUUGAUAGGUAAGUCAGUGGUGAAUACUCCGACUCAAAUCGGAGAACUGCCGUUGAUACUAUCUAUCUGAAUACGGUGGAGGCGGGCGGAAUGCGUCUGGUAGUGGUGAAUACUUAGAUAUGACGCAGAACGACCUAAUUGCGAAGGCAGCUCGCUACACCGGCAUUGACACUGAGGCACG